AUUGAACGCUGGCGGCAUGCUUUACACAUGCAAGUCGAACGGGUGUAGCAAUACACUAGUGGCGAACGGGUGAGUAAUGCAUCGGAACGUACCGUGUAGUGGGGGAUAACCCGGCGAAAGUCGGAUUAAUACCGCAUGAGAUCUACGGAUGAAAGCAGGGGAUCGCAAGACCUUGCGCUAUAUGAGCGGCCGAUGUCGGAUUAGCUAGUUGGUGGGGUAAAGGCCUACCAAGGCAACGAUCCGUAGCGGGUCUGAGAGGAUGAUCCGCCACACUGGGACUGAGACACGGCCCAGACUCCUACGGGAGGCAGCAGUGGGGAAUUUUGGACAAUGGGCGCAAGCCUGAUCCAGCCAUGCCGCGUGAGUGAAGAAGGCCUUCGGGUUGUAAAGCUCUUUCGCGAGGGAAGAAAGCGCACUGGUUAAUACCUGGUGUGGAUGACGGUACCUUGAUAAGAAGCACCGGCUAACUACGUGCCAGCCGCCGCGGUAA
rnacentral:rRNA from 1 species